UCAAACAGACAACUUCAUUAGUUUAAAAAGCCAUGGUGGGAAAUAUUUAAGAGAAUUGGAUUUGGAAUGCAGUGGUUUAGGAUUGCAUCCUGGCUCUGACUCUUUUUCUAGUUGUAUGACUUUGGAAAAGUCACUUCAAUCCUCUAAGCUUCAAUUUCUUCAACCACAAAAUAGAGGAAUCUGACACAAUGACCUCCAAGAUCUCUUUCAGCCGUAAAUCUUAUGUUGUUAAGCAUCUCAGAGUUGCAUGGGAUCUGGAAGUUGGUCUUGAGGUAGAAGGGAAGAAAACGAAGGAAGCUCACAUCAGACAGAUUUGAUUUCAAUAAGCAAACCAUCCUCAGUUCCUGGCCACUGGGUGUACUCUGAUGGAGCCACUUUGAAUCUGGAAACUUUGAUGAGGAGAGAAACAACGAGGCCUCAUGGGUGGUGUAUGAAGAGAGAAG